UCUCCAUCUUUUCUCCUGCUGUUUUUGCAGAACUCAUUGUGUCAUCAAAAAGACAUUGAUCAAAUGCUGACAGGCUCUGACCUUGGAUGAGAUCUUCAAUCAGAGCUCACAACCAAGUGAUUUUAUGCCAAGACCAACUUUGCUUGGCAAUAGAAGCUGACACAUAAGGCUCAGUUCUUAGGGAGCACCAUGAGUCUUCUCAGAAAGAGCCUGGAAAGAUUAGGAUCUACUGGAGGGAAGAAAGGCCAAGUUCCUGACCUUAUCCCUGAAUGAAAUAUUUCUUCAAGCCUUUGCCUUAUUUUUCCUAUUUUUUUUGCAACAUUUAAAUAUAUUUAUUUGGAAACAA